CUUUCCCUACUGCAGCAAUGUCUAAGAGAGGACGUGGUGGUUCAUCUGGAGCCAAGUUCAGGAUCUCACUGGGUCUCCCAGUGGGAGCGGUCAUCAACUGCGCUGACAACACAGCCGGAGCUGCCAGGUGCCAGUCAACCAGCGGGGAGUCCAGGAAGUUGCAGCUCCUGGCCAGGAAAUAAUGUGGCACAACCCGCUGUACGACGGUGAAUUGUGCCUUUGCAUGUAGGUUUUUUUUUUACGGAUGAAACCAUUAAGACCAGCUGCUGGCUGUAACUUCACAUUUGCUGUACAGACAUGAGAAUGUUCCGUAACUCUGCAAGAAACCAAUAACUUUGUCUAAAUUGUAUUUUUUUUUUCCCACAAACACAAUUUCCUGCAGAGGUCAGGAAAUGUGUUAACAUUUUUAAUGUUGACAAAACCUUCUGCAAAAAGAUACUAUACCAUAAAUAUGAAGGUGCCCUUUCAUUUCCCCUGGGCUCAGGAACAGUCAGGAACGACUACAAAGCUGUGCUUCGUGCUCAUUAUAUUGUGGUGAGCUGGUAAAUUAGUACUCUUAAUAGUGCCAAACUCUUUUUAGAAGUGGAAAUAAACCCACCCCCUUCCA